UUUAAAUCGUUGAAGAGGUAAAGUAAAAAUGAAUUUCUUACACAGAGAGAGUCACAGUUGCUGCGAGUGACUUUAAGAUUUCUUUUUGAAGUGCGCCUCAGAGUCUAUUGUGGAACAUAAAGUACAUGGUAGCGGUUCUCUGCCGUUAACAGAGCAAAGGGGAGAAAGAUAUUUUUUUCUCUAAACAGAGUGGAACCGCGCUAAAAAGCGUCUCUGUG
rnacentral:ncRNA from 1 species